GGUGUUUGCAGUUUGUGAUUCUCAAGCCCAUAUUAGUGCUCGUUACAAUCAUACUAUAUGUAAAAGGAAAAUAUGAGGACGGAAAUUUCAGUCCAAGCCAGUCAUACCUGUACCUCACAAUUAUAUAUACUAUCUCUUACUCGAUGGCACUUUAUGCAUUGGCUUUGUUUUACGUGGCAUGCAAAGAUCUGCUCCGUCCAUUUAAUCCAGUUCCAAAGUUCAUCAUUAUAAAAUCCGUCGUAUUCCUUACGUACUGGCAGGGUGUUCUGGUGUUUCUUGCUGCAAAGUCGGAGCUUAUUAAAGAUACCGAGGAAGCUGCUGAAUUUCAGAAUUUUAUAAUUUGCGUUGAGAUGCUUAUUGCAGCUUUUGCUCAUCUUUAUGCAUUCCCAUACAAGGAAUAUGCUGGUGCAAAUAUUGGUCCUCCUCGUGGUUUUACUGCUAGCCUUGGACAUGCCCUUAUGCUAAAUGACUUUUACCAUGACACGGUUCACCAGUUUGCUCCUACUUAUCAUGAUUAUGUUCUUUAUAAUCAUGGUGAUGCCGAAGAAGGGGGUGCAACAAAGUACAGGGCAAGGACUUUUGUCCCAACUGGCCCAGAGAUGGAUACUGUUAGGAAAAACAAGCACAUAAUUGGGAACAAACAGGAAGAUGUACAAUUAUCUACUCUCUCCCCAUCUGCUAAUAACAACAAUCCACAAAAUCCUGUUGCAGGCCAACAAACAGGGAAAUCGGAGGCAAUGAACUACUCUUUGCUUAUGGAUGCAUCAACUAAUGUUUCAGCACCCUAUGACCUAUCACUGAUUGAUGUAGAUAUUUCAACUUAUCCAUCUAAGGUACCUGCAGCCAAUCCUGGGUCAAGGUGAUGCUAUUGAAUUUUUCAACCAUGUGUGGAUUCAUUUUGUUUGGGAAUUAGAUAUGGCCAGCGUCACACGUGAAACUGAGUAUGUCGCUGUGAAGCUCACAGUUGUAACUUUAGUUUGUAAAUGUAGGCAAAGCUAGUUUUCUACCAUGUACUUUUGAUUGUGUGCUCCCAUUUCCAUAUGUAGUGUAAUUAAAGAAAAC
rnacentral:misc_RNA from 1 species